rnacentral:tRNA from 1 species
GCGAGCGUAGUUCAGUGGCAGAACACUAGCUUCCCAAGCUAGAUAUGGGAGUUCGAUUCUCCUCGCUCGCU